ACACAUAGGGGAGGAAAAAGAACUAACAAGGAUUCCCUAGUAACUGCGAGUGAAGCGGGAAAAGCUCAAAUUUAAAAUCUGGCAGUCUUUUGGGCUGUCCGAGUUGUAGUCUGGAGAAGUGCUUUCCGCGCUGGACCGUGUAUAAGUCUCUUGGAACAGAGCGUCAUAGAGGGUGAGAAUCCCGUCUUUGACACGGACUACCAGUGCUUUGUGAUGCGCUCUCAAAGAGUCGAGUUGUUUGGGAAUGCAGCUCAAAAUGGGUGGUGAAUUCCAUCUAAAGCUAAAUAUUGGCGAGAGACCGAUAGCGAACAAGUACCGUGAGGGAAAGAUGAAAAGCACUUUGGAAAGAGAGUUAAACAGUACGUGAAAUUGCUGAAAGGGAAACGCUUGAAGUCAGUCGCGUCGUCCGGAACUCAGCCUUGCUUUUGCUUGGUGCACUUUCCGGUUGACGGGUCAGCAUCGAUUUUGACCGUCGGAAAAGGGCUGGAGUAAUGUGGCACCCUCGGGUGUGUUAUAGACUCUGGUCGCAUACGGCGGUUGGGAUCGAGGAACGCAGCGCGCCGUAAGGCAGGGGUUCGCCCACUUUCGCGCUUAGGAUGCUGGCAUAAUGGCUUUAAACGACCCGUCUUGAAACACGGACCAAGGAGUCUAACAUACCUGCGAGUGUUUGGGUGGAAAACCCGAGCGCGUAAUGAAAGUGAAAGUUGAGACCCCUGUCGUGGGGGGCAUCGACGCCCGGACCUGACGUUCUCUGAAGGAUCCGCGGUAGAGCAUGUAUGUUGGGACCCGAAAGAUGGUGAACUAUGCCUGAAUAGGGUGAAGCCAGAGGAAACUCUGGUGGAGGCUCGUAGCGAUUCUGACGUGCAAAUCGAUCGUCAAAUUUGGGUAUAGGGGCGAAAGACUAAUCGAAGCAUCCCAUGCAU
rnacentral:rRNA from 1 species